AUUUUCGUCUUCAUGUAUCUUUCGGACUGCUACAAUGCAGGACAUAUUGUUUAAUACUUACAGUAAUAAAAAGAGACAGUUCUGAAAUUUAGGAAAAUUAUAAGAAUAUCACAUGUCAAUUUUUGCACCCAAAAUACAUUUGAGUCCACACAUUUCUCUGAACCUGAGUCUAUUUUUAUCCUGCAUCUUUUUGCUCUGUUUUGUUGUCAUCGGUAUCAUGAAUGCCUCCAUGAAGGACUACUGAAUAUGGACGUGUCGUCUAAUCAUAUGAUUAAAAUUUACCAUCUUUCUUCCUUCCAAGUUCUUCUUCCUUUUCUCACUCCUCUUCUUUCAUAAUUGGAACCAUGUAUGCCCCUUUGCUCUUCUAGACCCUUUAACACUGCUUGCCUCGCUCCCCCUUUCCCCUUAUGCUAAUGUUUCUCUUACAUUAAUUCCAAAUAGUAAUUAUUCCUUAAUUCCAAGAGGGUAAGAGGUGCAAUUUUGUAAUUUUGAAAGUUUACCCAAUCUAUCCAACCAUUUUAUAUGAUUGCUUAAUUAUGAUGCUCUUGAUGUUAUAGGAGGGAGGAUGACAUUGAGAGUUAUAUUGACUAACGAUGGUUUCCUACCCA
rnacentral:lncRNA from 1 species